GAAGUCGAUUUCAGUGCGUUUUUCGACGAAAUUCGCCGAAAGAACGCGGUUUCAGUUCGGAUUUCUUUCAACGUGGUUUGUUUAUCCUGUGUAUUGUCGCUGAGCCUGGUUAGCUGGUCACCAUCGUCAUUUUGUUGGUUCCGUGAUGAUGGGUGAGCGACGGUGGGUUUCGGUGUCGAAAUAGAUGCUUCCGGGAACCCGUAUUCGUAAAAUCAUCCGGCGAUAUGUUAUCUUGUGUUUGCUGCCAAGACAUCCAAACGGGAGUGUUUUGUGGCAGCAGGUGACUCGUGACACGAGUCGGUGAGUUUCGGGACAGUUAGUGGGUCCCGAUGGCGUCCCGAUGUGGUUUUCGGGACUUCCGAUAAGUUACAGUGAUCGGUUUUGGGAAAUCGAUUCGAGGACUUGUGUGGGGGUUUGUGAGUUGUGU
rnacentral:lncRNA from 1 species